UGACUCCUUGAGAGUCCUGAAGGAACGUUGAAGACGACGACGUUGAUAGGCCGGAUGUGUAAGCGCAGCGAUGCGUUGAGCUAACCGGUACUAAUGAACCGUGAGGCUUAACCUUACAACGCCGAAGGUGUUU
rnacentral:rRNA from 1 species